UCACGUAUUGCCUCUAGAGCAUUAUUGAAGAAGUACAGAGUAUUCGUCCGCUCUGGGUAUUUGAACGCCUGCGGGAUGCUUACGACACAAGUCGAACGUGCCACGAUCUCGGUCUGUGCGAAGUGGCAGUCGGAAGGAAAAGUUUUUGUAUCAGAACGUGCCUAGUAGCGGGGGAUAACUACGCGAAAGCGUAGCUAAUACCGCAUACGCCCUUCGGGGAAAGCGGGGACCUUCGGGCCUCGCACUAUUAGAGCGGCCGAUAUCGGAUUAGCUAGUUGGUGGGGUAACGGCUCACCAAGGCGACGAUCCGUAGCUGGUUUGAGAGGACGACCAGCCACACUGGGACUGAGACACGGGCUCCAGACUCCUACGGGGAGGCAGCAGUGGGGAAUUUGGACAAUGGGGAAACCCCUGAUCCAGCCAUCCCGCGUGUGCGAUGAAGGCUCUUCGGGUUGUAAAAGCACUUUUGGCAGGAAGAAACGGCACGGGAUAAUACCCGUGCAACUGACGGUACCUGCAGAAUAAGCACCGGCUAACUACGUGCCAGCAGCCGCGGUAAUACGUAGGGUGCAAGCGCGUUAAUCGGAAUUACCGGGCGUAAAGCGUACGCAGGCGGGUUCAAAUAAGAUGCGGAAUCCCAGAGCUUAACUUUGGAACUGCAUUUUUAACUACCGAGCUAGGAGUGUGUCAGAGGGAGGUGGAAUUCCGCGGGCAGUGAAAUGCGUAGAUAUGCGAGGAACACCGAUGGCGAAGGCAGCCUCCUGGGAUAACACUGACGCUCAUGCACGAAAGCGUGGGAGCAAACAGGAUUAGAUACCUCUGGUAGUCCACGCCCUAAACGAUGUCAACUAGCUGUUGGGGCCUUCUUCGGGCCUUGGUAGCGCAGCUAAUCGCGUGAAGUUGACCGCCUGGGGAGUACGGUCGCAAGAUUAAAAACUCAAAGGAAUUGACGGGGACCCGCACAAGCGGUGGAUGAUGUGGAUUAAUUCGAUGCAACGCGAAAACCUUACCUACCCUUGACAUGUCUGGAAUCCUGAAGAGAUUUGGGAGUGCUCGCAAGAGAACCGGAACACAGGUGCUGCAUGGCUACUGUCAGCUCGUGUCGAGAUGUUGGGUUAAGUCCCGCAACGAGCGCAACCCUUGUCAUUAGUUGCUACGAAAGGGCACUCUAAUGAGACUGCCGGUGACAAACCGGAGGAAGGUGGGAUGACGUCAAGUCCUCAUGGCCCUUAUGGUAGGCUUCACACGUCAUACAAUGGUCGGGACAGAGGGUCGCCAACCCGCGAGGGGGAGCCAAUCCCAGAAACCUGAUCGUAGUCCGAUCGUAGUCUGCAACUCGACUGCGUGAAGUCGGAAUCGCUAGUAAUCGCGGAUCAGCAUGUCGCGUAGAAUACGUUCCCGGGUCUUGUACACACCGCCCGUCACACCAUGGGAGUGGGUUUUACCAGAAGUAGUUAGCCUUAACCGUAAGGAGGGCGAUUACCACGGUAGGAUUCAUGAUUGGGGUGAAGUCGUAACAAGGUAA
rnacentral:rRNA from 1 species